GGGGCUGCAUUGGUUUCGACAUGGGUUCGGAAGCGUUGCGGAGCAUGCCGAGCUUGAGUCACGCUCGUAAAUCUCGGUUCACAAAACUAACUGCAAACGACGAACGUUUCGCACUCGCCGCUUAAUCCGGUGAGCCUUGCAACAGCAGGUCAAUGGGCUGGGCAAGGGUAGCGCAAGCUAUCCAGGCUGCAAGGUCAUACUACAUUGACUAGCAACGCAUCGGGUGCCUUGAUGCGGCGCAAAACUCAAGGGCACUGGUUUGUUGCGCAGCGUGCCGCUGUGCGGCGCAGCAAACAAGAUUAAAGCAGCCGGCUACGCAUGUAGAACUGUACGAACAAGGCUCGUGGACGCGGGUUCAAAUCCCGCCAGCUCCACCA
rnacentral:tmRNA from 1 species